rnacentral:rRNA from 1 species
AGAGUUUUAAAUUCUGGCUCAGGAUGAACGCUGGCGGCGUGCUUAACACAUGCAAGUCGAACGGUGAAGCCAAGCUUGCUUGGUGGAUCAGUGGCGAACGGGUGAGUAACACGUGAGCAACCUGCCCUGGACUCUGGGAUAAGCGCUGGAAACGGUGUCUAAUACUGGAUAUGAGCUCUCAUCGCAUGGUGGGGGUUGGAAAGAUUUUUCGGUCUGGGAUGGGCUCGCGGCCUAUCAGCUUGUUGGUGAGGUAAUGGCUCACCAAGGCGUCGACGGGUAGCCGGCCUGAGAGGGUGACCGGCCACACUGGGACUGAGACACGGCCCAGACUCCUACGGGAGGCAGCAGUGGGGAAUAUUGCACAAUGGGCGGAAGCCUGAUGCAGCAACGCCGCGUGAGGGAUGACGGCCUUCGGGUUGUAAACCUCUUUUAGCAGGGAAGAAGCGAGAGUGACGGUACCUGCAGAAAAAGCGCCGGCUAACUACGUGCCAGCAGCCGCGGUAAUACGUAGGGCGCAAGCGUUAUCCGGAAUUAUUGGGCGUAAAGAGCUCGUAGGCGGUUUGUCGCGUCUGCUGUGAAAUCCCGAGGCUCAACCUCGGGCCUGCAGUGGGUACGGGCAGACUAGAGUGCGGUAGGGGAGAUUGGAAUUCCUGGUGUAGCGGUGGAAUGCGCAGAUAUCAGGAGGAACACCGAUGGCGAAGGCAGAUCUCUGGGCCGUAACUGACGCUGAGGAGCGAAAGGGUGGGGAGCAAACAGGCUUAGAUACCCUGGUAGUCCACCCCGUAAACGUUGGGAACUAGUUGUGGGGACCAUUCCACGGUUUCCGUGACGCAGCUAAACCGCCCAAUUUAA